rnacentral:rRNA from 1 species
CCUACGAGAGGCAGCAGUGGGGAAUAUUGGACAAUGGGGGGAACCCUGAUCCAGCCAUGCCGCGUGUGUGAAGAAGGCCCUCGGGUUGUAAAGCACUUUCAGUGAGGAAGAACGCCUGGUGGUUAAUACCCAUCAGGAAAGACAUCACUCACAGAAGAAGCACCGGCUAACUCCGUGCCAGCAGCCGCGGUAAUACGGAGGGUGCGAGCGUUAAUCGGAAUUACUGGGCGUAAAGCGCGCGUAGGUGGCUUGAUAAGCCGGUUGUGAAAGCCCCGGGCUCAACCUGGGAACGGCAUCCGGAACUGUCAAGCUAGAGUGCAGGAGAGGAAGGUAGAAUUCCCGGUGUAGCGGUGAAAUGCGUAGAGAUCGGGAGGAAUACCAGUGGCGAAGGCGGCCUUCUGGACUGACACUGACACUGAGGUGCGAAAGCGUGGGUAGCAAACAGGAUUAGAUACCCUAGUAGUC